rnacentral:rRNA from 1 species
GACGAACGCUGGCGGCGUGCUUAACACAUGCAAGUCGAGCGGAGCGGCGAACGGGUGAGUAACGCGUGAGUAACUGCCCACCUCCCUGGGAUCACAGUUGGAAACGGGUGCUAAUACCGGAUAGUGGGGGAUGAAUCGCGUCCUAUCAGCUUCACGGUGGGGUAGUGGCCUACCAAGGCGACGACGGGUAGCCGGCCUGCGAGGGCGACCGGCCACAUUGGUCGGCGAGACGGCCCAAACUCCUACGGGAGGCAUCAGUGGGGAAUAUUGCACAAUGGGGGAAACCCUGAUGCAGCAACGCGCGGGCGGGAUGACGGCCUUCGGGUUGUAAACCGCUUUCAGCCAUGACGCGGUAGUGGCAGAAGAAGCACCGGCUAACUACGUGCCAGCAGCCGCGGUAAUAC